rnacentral:lncRNA from 1 species
AAAAUCAGCACACAAUUAUAUCUAUAUACUAGUGACAAGAAAUGGAAGGAAAAAUAUCAAGAUUUGGUACAUCAAACCACACUGAAAUAGUUGAACAAGAAAUUGCAGUUGAAGCGCUCAAAUACUCUUUAUGGGCCAUGCCUAUUUAAAAUUCUUGGUAAAACCUAAAAAGAACAAAAAGUGAGGAGGGUAGAAAGAAGAAAAAAUUAUUAACUACCGUAUAUAUACAAAGUAACUUACAUUGAUCUUUUUCCGUCACUUUGUUCAAUUCAUUUUGCAUCCUCUAUUGAGUGACCGAAAUUAACACAAAAAAUCCAAAGCAAGUAGAGGAAGAAGAAGAAGAAGAUAAUGAACAAGAAAAACAACUUGAGUCAUUGCUAUGUCUACUAGGAAGAAGUCCUUACUACGUCUAUUGGAAAAUUUAAACCAACCAUUCUAAGAAUGACAAAGGCGUACUCAGAAAAUGGCUAUUGAAGAUUUCAUCUGUCCAUACCCUCCUCAAGAACUUCAUGAGGGCUCUCAUUUAUGCUAUCUAAAGAAGGUUUCCACCCAGAAUUAGCCUUUUCUCUGCCUCUUUGUAUCUCUCCCAGUACAUCUUCCAAACUCUUCCAUUCUUUAUUCUUUUGCUGGAAAAGUAGCCACUGCAAUUCCUCCUUUGUCAAUAUAAUUUUCACUGUCAUUUUACUACCUUUUUCUAAGCCAUUUUCUUCUGAUUUCUCCUCUCGUUGUGGUGCCUUCUUCUCCAUUAAUUUAUUGUUGUUUCUGCAUUUUUUCAUGCAAUUUCCCAUUUGUUAAAAUUGAGAAAUAGGUGUCUCUCAAAGAAAUUGGAUUACUAUUCUGAACUAAUAAUUGAGAGUCACAAAAAUGGUUAAGAAUUGCGUGUGCGCGCUCAUUUCCUUUUUAUAGAUACGAUUAGACAAACUCUUACACAUAUUUAUUGCUAAACUAUACAUUGUAUUUUUCAAAUUUUUAUUAAACCUGACGUUGACGUUG